CACUGAUAUGAAGAGCUUGCUCGGAUUUGAAGAUGAACAUUGCAAAGAGUGGCGAACGGGUGAGUAACACGUGGGAAACCUACCUCUUAGCGGGGGAUAACACUUGGAAACAAGUGCUAAUACCGCAUAAUACUGAUAACCGCAUGGUUAUCAGUUGAAAGAUGGUUCUGCUAUCACUAAGAGAUGGUCCCGCGGUGUAUUAGCUAGUUGGUAAGGUAAUGGCUUACCAAGGCAAUGAUACAUAGCCGAGUUGAGAGACUGAUCGGCCACAAUGGGACUGAGACACGGCCCAUACUCCUACGGGAGGCAGCAGUAGGGAAUCUUCCACAAUGGACGAAAGUCUGAUGGAGCAACGCCGCGUGUGUGAUGAAGGGUUUCGGCUCGUAAAACACUGUUGUAAGAGAAGAAUGACAUUGAGAGUAACUGUUCAGUGUGUGACGGUAUCUUACCAGAAAGGAACGGCUAAAUACGUGCCAGCAGCCGCGGUAAUACGUAUGUUCCAAGCGUUAUCCGGAUUUAUUGGGCGUAAAGCGAGCGCAGACGGUUGUUUAAGUCUGAAGUGAAAGCCCACAGCUUAACUGUGGAAGUGCUUUGGAAACUGGAUAACUUGAGUGCAGUAGAGGAGAGUGGAACUCCAUG
rnacentral:rRNA from 1 species